rnacentral:rRNA from 1 species
CAUGCAAGUCGAGCGGAAACGACACYAACAAUYCUUCGGGUGCGUUAAUGGGCGUCGAGCGGCGGACGGGUGAGUAAUGCCUAGGAAAUUGCCUUGAUGUGGGGGAUAACCAUUGGAAACGAUGGCUAAUACCGCAUAAUGCCUACGGGCCAAAGAGGGGGAYCUUCGGRCCUCUCGCGUCAAGAUAUGCCUAGGUGGGAUUAGCUAGUUGGUGAGGUAAUGGCUCACCAAGGCGACGAUCCCUAGCUGGUCUGAGAGGAUGAUCAGCCACACUGGAACUGAGACACGGUCCAGACUCCUACGGGAGGCAGCAGUGGGGAAUAUUGCACAAUGGGCGAAAGCCUGAUGCAGCCAUGCCGCGUGUAUGAAGAAGGCCUUCGGGUUGUAAAGUACUUUCAGUUGUGAGGAAGGGUGUGUAGUUAAUAGCUGCRYMUCUUGACGU